GGGAGUAGGAGGUUGCCGCUGUUGUACUAGUGGUGUGUCGCCGUGCUCAGUAGUGGUGGUGAAGGUGCCGGUGGUGGAGGUGGUAGUAGUGGUGCUGGUGGUGGUGUUGCUGUUGCCUGUGACGGAGUUGUUCUUGCGCGCCAUUCCUUUUUAUCAUUCUUUAUAACUUCCUCCCCUUGCUUCCUUUUGCUGCCUUGGUUUUGCGUGUGUGCUGUACUUCCUUCACAGUCUCUUAUUCCUUCUUUUAUUUUGUUCCCUCUUUUGGAUACUUGAGUUUAUCCUUCCGUCCUUCAUUUAAUUCUUUCAUUUACCGCAUUUUUUUUCAUCCGCAGUUUCCAUCCUUCCUUUAUUUUCAGUCUUUUCACUCACAUUCAUUUAUUUCCCUCCCACUUCUCUUUCGUAUUCAAUUAACAGCUUGGCUUCCUAUUUUUCAUUCCUCUUUCCAUCAGUUUUCCUCUCCAUCCAUUUAUCUGUCUCUAAAUUUCCAUCUCCCAUCCUUGCUCUCCAUCCUUUCUCCGUUAGUUGACUCAUCUCCCUCUCUUUUACUCCUUCCAACGUUCUCCUCCUCUCCUUUUCUCAGUUCAUUCCCUGCCUACUCCGUCCCUUCUCCGUCUCACUCCGUCACAGUCGCCGUCAAGAUGUGGACCUUACAAAGACCAAGCAACAAGGAGCCGGACAGAAAGUGGCGCCUCAACAAGGGCAACAAGUACUCGUCGCUGUUGCGCUUCAACAAGAAGAACAAGGAAAACGAAGCCGUCGACACCGUCAUCAACUACCGCACCGUCGACCGCCUCCACGACCGUGUGUCCGACCGCUUCAUUGACCCCCGCGCUGACCCCAGACUCCUCGUGGCCCCGCGCGGCGACCCCAGGGCUGAGGGCAGGGUAAUACCGGCCCCCAGAGUUGACCCACGGCUGGACUCACGCCUGGAGUCACGUUUGCAGCAACUGGACCAGGAAGUUGAGGCGACAGUUGGCCCGAAAGGGGAGCUAAAAGGGGACUUGAAGGAGCCUGAGCCACGCCCCCGUUCUGACCCCGAGACAAGGCUCCCCCGCGUGCUUCCCCGCAUUGAGGCUCCCCCCAGGCUGCGUGAACCAAGCCGGGAGCGCGGGGUUGACUUGAAGGAGAAGCUUGAGACCCGGAACAGCGGCGGGGGGUCAGGCGGGCGGCAGGAGGUUGAGUCGAAGGAGCGUUACGUGGAGCGCUAUCUGGAGCUGCUCUCCCGCGACGAACCCGACAGCUGUGGCCCCGGCCCCUGUGUGGAGAUGGUGUCCCGCCGGAAGAUCCUGGGCCGCUCCCAGGACAACUUGAACCUGGACCUGCCCUACCAAGAAGAGGAGGAGGACGUGUGGUACAAGAUGGACAAACUGUACAAGGACCACAUUCAGGAGGUGCUCAUGAAGUGGGAACAAAUCGACGACGAGAUCUGGUCCAAAGUCAUCGUCUUCGAGCGUAACAGACGCGUGGCCAAGGCCUACGCCCGCGCCCCCGUCCUCACCGUCAACGGCUCCGACGACGGCUUCGACGGCUACAGGAUCGGCUUGUGCGGCUUCGAGAACCCUAUGCGAGACCCCAGGACCGAGGAGAUCAGACGCCAUAUUGGACACGGCGUGAAGGUGAAGAUGGACGACCAAGGGAACAUCCUGAUCAAGCGUGUGUCUAAGGCGGGCGUGUACGUUAAGGUUGGCAGCGACGACAACGCCGUCAGCAACGAGAUCCUCAAAAUGCCCAACUACGGCCUCGAGACUGACAAGCCCGUCAUGCUCUUCGACAUCAACAAGUUCCAGCAAAACGUGAAGCGCGAGAUGAGGCGGCAGUACCCGGACCGCUCGAAGCUGGAGUCUCAGUGCGUGUGUGUGAUCGCCUUCGUCAAGAAUGAGCAGGACCUCCUCGACUGCCCGAUCUGGGUCAUGAUCAUCAACAUCGUCGCCAUGGACAUGCUCAAGAGUAAAUUCCCGCCAGUCAAAGUGGUGCCCAACAUCCGCAACAGGCCGCGCAUCCCCCUCCCCGACGAAGACCCUUACAGCGUGGCGGGCUCGGGCGCCUCAUCCGGGUCGUCAGUAAAGGACCGCAAGGACAAGCCACCGAAGCUCCCGCCCCGCGACGCCCCCGGAGGCUACCCGAGCAGGUCCAACGGCAAGGCUGAAUACGACGCCCUGGACGAAAACGCCUUCAGGAAGAUUCACUCCCGCAACAAUAACAACAACAACAAGGCCAAGGACCGCAAAUAUGACGACCCCUACUACUGCGGGCUGAGGGCUCGCAUCCCUAACUUUGCUCAGACCAAGUCCAAGGAUAAGCAGGAGCCUCUCCGCGCCCAGUACCCCGUGCCUGCCCAUCCCAUGUGGCACACCCGCAGCUACGACUCCGGCAUGGCGCUCUUGCAACAGAACCAAGCGCAAAAUAUUCACAGACUAGAGAGAAAUCCUUGUUCGUGGGUGCCGUCUGUCCCUAUGCGGAAUGAAACUGAGUGGGAAUCUUACUGGGGCUCGUGAAGGAAGGAAGGCAGAGAGAGAAGGUAGAGAGGGAGACAAAGUAAGAGAAAGAAGGGAAAGUGAGAGAGAAAGAGAGAAAAAGAGAGAGAGGGGGAGAGGAAUAUAAAGGAAACACUCCCCUCUCCGAGACUGCCGUAGACUCAGACUUCACCGACUCCGCCUAUUCCCGUAUCUACGGCCGCCUGCCCCUCCCCAACCGAGGCUACCUUCCCCCUCCCCCGCCUCACCCCCGCGCGAUGUACGUCGGGGAGUGGGACUGAAGGGGACUGGGGAAGCCUGGGGGCGGCCGUGGAGGUGACUUGAGGCGACUGGGAACACCGAGGAAGUGAGGAAAUACGAAUAUGAUAUAAGCAAAGCAGCACGAAACUCAGUCGCAACAAGCCUCCAUUCCGCCUUUAGUUUCCCCAGAGAGCAAUCCGUUUUCUUCCAAGGUCGCGGACACUCGAAGUCGAAGAAAAAGGACCUCGACUGCAUUCUUCGUCUUCGUUUUCGUUCGCGUCCUCGCAUCUGAAGCUCUGUUUUUUAAGGGGCACUCAACUUUUUUUUUUAUUAUACUUACGGGAGAGGCGUCGUCGUUGUUGUUACAUGUUCGUCGAUCGUCUAAGCCGUGUUAUUAUUAUCUUUUUUCUCGUCUGUACGAUUUUCCAUAACCCUGAAAAUUGCACUGACCAGAAAAAAAUGAACCAGAGACAAUAAAGAGAAGCGGCGGUCGCGGUGAGGAUGAAUGAGAUAUGAGAUUGAGGUGCCGAUGUGAGAAGGGCUAACACGCAGAGGAGGAGGAGGGGAAGAAAAAGAAGAAGAAGAAGAACCAAUACCAGAACCAAAACAAGAUGGAGUCAAAGAUGAUGAAAAGGAGGAGAAGAAGAAUACUAGACCCAAACGAAAAUGAAGUCACAAGAACAAGGUGAGAAAGACGGAAGGAAGAGGAAUAACAGGAAGAAGAUGAAAGGGAGAGAGGACACACUUGCCUACAGUACCCUCCCCGCACUCUCACAAGAAGAUAAAUACGAAGAAAGAAGAGCAAUAGGAAGAAGAUAAUAAAGGGAGAGAGGAAAAACAUACCUUCUCUCCCUUCUCCCUCCCUCCCUCGCGUGCAAAACCCAUCACCAUUCGGCACUAACAUGAGACUCACUCUCCCUGUGUCUGUAAAUAGCAAUAUGAGCCUUGUGGACCAACAGAAGUACACACACACACACACACACACACACACACACACACACAAGAGUACACUCAUACAUACAUACAUUCAUGAUUGAAGGUAUACAUAUGUGUGUGAUUCAUGCAUACGGGCUCAAACGUACACACAGACUCUUGCUUUAUACGUACAUGUGUGCAUCUGUGUGCGUCUGUGUUGGCUAUAAUGUACACAGACUUGCCCUGGAAAGGAAAAUUUGUGUACAAGAGUAUACACACACACACACACACACACACACACACACACACACACACACACGCAAUGAUUCCGAUCCAGGGAAAGUCUUUUUUUUUUUUUCAAUGGUAUGUUACUUUUUUUUUAGUUUAUUUAAGUUUAUCGCCUUAUAUAGGAAGGGGGGGAAGGGGGACGCAUAAUGACCCUCUCCCCCUCCUCUUCCUCUUUUUCUUCCACUUCUCUUUUUUUUUUUUCGUCUUCUGAUAUUGUUGGGAUAGGCGUAUUAUCUCUAUCUAUCUAUCUAUCUAUCUAUCUCAAGGGCGGGUUCUAUCGCCAUCGCCAGUACCGCUUCAAUAAUUAACUUGUAUAUAAAUAACUUCGAUAGGACGAAUAGGCGCUUAUGUGAUGUCCCUGAACCCGCCCCUGUCACCCUCGAUCCGUGUUUCAUUAUUGCUUUAUCCUUUCCUUCCUUCUUUUAUCCUUCCCUCCUUUCCUCCUUUCCUCCUGCUUUCCAAUUCUCCAUUCUUCUUUCCUCUCAUAUUUUAUCUCAUUUUCUCUCCUUCUCUUUCGGUUCUUAUCUCAUUUUGUAUUGAUUUGCUUUCCAUUUCUCUUUUUUUUUUCAGUUUCUCGUUAUUUUUUUUAUUCUUUUUUAUCAUCGUUCUUUGGUGGUUUAUGGAUUCUCAUUUCAACUGUAUUAUUUUCUGUAUUUCUCUCCUUUUCUUUAUUUGUUUUCUUCUUCCAGCUUUGUAAUAUACGUUUUUCUAUAUGAUUUUUGCCUGUUUUUUUUUGUCUUUUCCUUAUUAUAUGCAAAUGUUUUGUUUCAUUAUUUUUUUCGCUGUUGUUUGUUUCUGAUUUUUAUCCGACUAAUCCUCACUCAUUUUCCUUUUUAGUUACUGUCUUCAUUUCUUUCCCAUACUUCAUUUUUCUUCACUUUUUCUCUAAGGUAUUUUUAAUUGUAUAAUGACGGAUUCGCAGCAGCUGUGAAUGAUGAGUAUGAUGAGUAUGAUGACUAUGAUGAUAAUGAUGAAGUAUUAACCACAACACCACAAUGAGAACAAUCUAUACCAUGCAGUAAUUCUUGUAUGUAAAGUAUGUGUGUGAUUAUGACUAUUUUUUUUUCUCCAUCUUUUUACUAUUUUUGUAUAUUGACAGACUCUCUUUUUUUAUUGAAUUAUUACAACCACUUGAACUGUAACUAGUGUAAAUGUGAUUAAAAGAAAGUGGAUAUUGUGAGC